rnacentral:rRNA from 1 species
GAUGAACGCUAGCGGCAGGCCUAACACAUGCAAGUCGAGGGAGAAGCCCUUUCGGGGGCAGAAACCGGCGCACGGGUGCGUAACGCGUAUGCAACCUACCUUUCACAGGGGGAUAGCCCGAAGAAAUUUGGAUUAAUACCCCAUAAUAUUAUUGGAUGGCAUCAUUUGAUAAUUAAAACUGCGGUGGUGAAAGAUGGGCAUGCGUCCUAUUAGCUAGUUGGAGUGGUAACGGCACCCCAAGGCUACGAUUGGUAGGGGUCCUGAGAGGGAGAUCCCCCACACUGGUACUGAGACAGGGACCAGACUCCUACGGGAGGCAGCAGUGAGGAAUAUUGGUCAAUGGUCGGAAGACUGAACCAGCCAUGCCGCGUGCAGGAAGAAUGCCUUAUGGGUUGUAAACUGCUUUUAUAUGGGAAGAAUAAGGCGUACGUGUACGUUGAUGACGGUACCAUAUGAAUAAGCAUCGGCUAACUCCGUG